rnacentral:rRNA from 1 species
GACGAACGCUGGCGGCGUGCUUAACACAUGCAAGUCGAGCGGUAAGGCCCUUUCGGGGGUACACGAGCGGCGAACGGGUGAGUAACACGUGGGUGACCUGCCCUCAGCUCUGGGAUAAGCCUGGGAAACCGGGUCUAAUACUGGAUAUGACUCCAUGACGCAUGUUGUGGGGUGGAAAGCCUUGUGCGGCUGAGGAUGGGCCCACGGCCUAUCAGCUUGUUGGUGGGGUGANGGCCUACCAAGGCGACGACGGGUAGCCGGCCUGAGAGGGCGACCGGCCACACUGGGACUGAGACACGGCCCAGACUCCUACGGGAGGCAGCAGUGGGGAAUCUUGCGCAAUGGGCGAAAGCCUGACGCAGCGACGCCGCGUGAGGGAUGACGGCCUGGUGUAAC